rnacentral:rRNA from 1 species
CCUACGGGUGGCAGCAGUGAGGAAUAUUGGUCAAUGGGCGCGAGCCUGAACCAGCCAAGUAGCGUGAAGGAUGACUGCCCUAUGGGUUGUAAACCUCUUUUAUGCGGGGAUAAAGGUGUCCACGUGUGGAUGGUUGCAGGUACCCCAUGAAUAAGGACCGGCUAAUUCCGUGCCAGCAGCCGCGGUAAUACGGAAGGUCCGGGCGUUAUCCGGAUUUAUCGGGUUUAAAGGGUGCGUCGGCCGGUCUUUAAGCUGGCCGUGACAUUUUGUGGCUCAACCAUGAGAGUGAGGCGCGAACUGGAGACCUGGAGUGCGCGGAAGGCAGGCGGAAUUCGUGGUGUAGCGGUGAAAUGCUUAGAUAUCACGAAGAACCACGAUUGCGAAGGCAGCCUGCCGCAGCGUUACUGACGCUGAAGCUCGAAAGCGCGGGUAUCGAACAGGAUUAGAUACCCGAGUAGUC